UUAAGUUAAUAAGGGCGCACGGUGGAUGCCUUGGCACUAGGAGCCGACGAAGGACGUGACAAACGACGAUAUGCCUUGGGUAGCUGUAAGUAAGCGAUGAUCCAGGGAUUUCCGAAUGGGGGAACCCAACAGGUAAUACCUGUUACCUACAUCUGUUAAGGAUGUGAGGAGGAAGACGCAGUGAACUGAAACAUCUAAGUAGCUGCAGGAAGAGAAAGCAAAAGCGAUUGCCUUAGUAGCGGCGAGCGAAACGGCAGAAGGGCAAACCGAAGAGUUUACUCUUCGGGGUUGUAGGACUGCAAUGUGGACUCAAAGAUUAUAGAAGAAUGAUUUGGGAAGAUCAGCCAAAGAGAGUAAUAGCCUCGUAUUUAAAAUAGUCUUUGUACUUAGCAGUAUCCUGAGUACGGCGGGACACGUGAAAUCCCGUCGGAAUCUGGGAGGACCAUCUCCCAACCCUAAAUACUCCCUAGUGACCGAUAGUGAACCAGUACCGUGAGGGAAAGGUGAAAAGCACCCCGGGAGGGGAGUGAAAUAGAACCUGAAACCGUGUGCCUACAACAAGUUCGAGCCCGUUAAUGGGUGAGAGCGUGCCUUUUGUAGAAUGAACCGGCGAGUUACGUUAUGAUGCGAGGUUAAGUUGAAGAGACGGAGCCGUAGGGAAACCGAGUCUGAAUAGGGCGCCUUAGUAUCAUGACGUAGACCCGAAACCAUGUGACCUACCCAUGAGCAGGUUGAAGGUGCGGUAAGACGCACUGGAGGACCGAACCAGGGCACGUUGAAAAGUGCUUGGAUGACUUGUGGGUAGCGGAGAAAUUCCAAACGAACUUGGAGAUAGCUGGUUCUCUCCGAAAUAGCUUUAGGGCUAGCGUCGACAUUAGAGAUUCUUGGAGGUAGAGCACUGUUUGGGUGAGGGGUCCAUCCCGGAUUACCAAUCUCAGAUAAACUCCGAAUGCCAAUGAAUUAUGGUCGGCAGUCAGACUGCGAGUGCUAAGAUCCGUAGUCGAAAGGGAAACAGCCCAGACCACCAGCUAGGGUCCCAAAAUAAUUGUUAAGUGGAAAAGGAUGUGGGGUUGCACAGACAACUAGGAUGUUAGCUUAGAAGCAGCUAUUCAUUCAAAGAGUGCGUAAUAGCUCACUAGUCGAGUGACCCUGCGCCGAAAAUGUACCGGGGCUAAAACAAUUUACCGAAGCUGUGGAUACCUUUAUAGGUAUGGUAGGAGAGCGUUCUAUGUGUGAUGAAGGUAUACCGUGAGGAGUGCUGGAACGCAUAGAAGUGAGAAUGCCGGUAUGAGUAGCGAAAGACAGGUGAGAAUCCUGUCCACCGUAAGACUAAGGUUUCCAGGGGAAGGCUCGUCCGCCCUGGGUUAGUCGGGACCUAAGGAGAGACCGAAAGGUGUAUCCGAUGGACAACAGGUUGAUAUUCCUGUACUAGAGUAUGUAGUGAUGGAGGGACGCAGUAGGCUAACUAAAGCAGACGAUUGGAAGAGUCUGUCUAAGCAGUGAGGUGUGAAUUGAGUCAAAUGCUUAAUUCUAUAACAUUGAGCUGUGAUGGGGAGCGAAGUUUAGUAGCGAAGUUAGUGACGUCACACUGCCAAGAAAAGCUUCUAGCGUUUAAACAUACUCUACCCGUACCGCAAACCGACACAGGUAGUCGAGGCGAGUAGCCUCAGGUGAGCGAGAGAACUCUCGUUAAGGAACUCGGCAAAAUGACCCCGUAACUUCGGGAGAAGGGGUGCUGACUUAAAGUCAGCCGCAGUGAAUAGGCCCAAGCAACUGUUUAUCAAAAACACAGCUCUCUGCUAAAUCGUAAGAUGAUGUAUAGGGGGUGACGCCUGCCCGGUGCUGGAAGGUUAAGAGGAGUGCUUAGCGUAAGCGAAGGUAUGAAUUGAAGCCCCAGUAAACGGCGGCCGUAACUAUAACGGUCCUAAGGUAGCGAAAUUCCUUGUCGGGUAAGUUCCGACCCGCACGAAAGGCGUAAUGAUUUGGGCACGUGUCUCAACGAGAGACUCGGUGAAAUUUUAGUACCUGUGAAGAUGCAGGUUACCCGCGACAGGACGGAAGGACCCCAUGGAGCUUUACUGCAGUUUGAUAUUGAGUGUCUGUACCACAUGUACAGGAUAGGUAGGAGUCUAAGAGAUCGGGACGCCAGUUUCGAAGGAGACGCUGUUGGGAUACUACCCUUGUGUUAUGGCCACUCUAACCCAGAUAGGUGAUCCCUAUCGGAGACAGUGUCUGACGGGCAGUUUGACUGGGGCGGUCGCCUCCUAAAAGGUAACGGAGGCGCCCAAAGGCUCCCUCAGAAUGGUUGGAAAUCAUUCGCAGAGUGUAAAGGUAUAAGGGAGCUUGACUGCGAGAGCUACAACUCGAGCAGGGACGAAAGUCGGGCUUAGUGAUCCGGUGGUUCCGUAUGGAAGGGCCAUCGCUCAACGGAUAAAAGCUACCCUGGGGAUAACAGGCUUAUCUCCCCCAAGAGUUCACAUCGACGGGGAGGUUUGGCACCUCGAUGUCGGCUCGUCGCAUCCUGGGGCUGUAGUCGGUCCCAAGGGUUGGGCUGUUCGCCCAUUAAAGCGGCACGCGAGCUGGGUUCAGAACGUCGUGAGACAGUUCGGUCCCUAUCCGUCGCGGGCGUAGGAAAUUUGAGAGGAUCUGCUCCUAGUACGAGAGGACCAGAGUGGACUUACCGCUGGUGUACCAGUUGUCUUGCCAAAGGCAUCGCUGGGUAGCUAUGUAGGGAAGGGAUAAACGCUGAAAGCAUCUAAGUGUGAAACCCACCUCAAGAUGAGAUUUCCCAUGAUUAUAUAUCAGUAAGAGCCCUGAGAGAUGAUCAGGUAGAUAGGUUAGAAGUGGAAGUGUGGCGACACAUGUAGCGGACUAAUACUAAUAGCUCGAGGACUUAUCCAA
rnacentral:rRNA from 1 species